rnacentral:rRNA from 1 species
GGUCAGGAUGAACGCUAGCUACAGGCCUAACACAUGCAAGUCGAGGGGCAGCAGAUCGAAAGCUUGCUUUGAUGCUGGCGACCGGCGAAUGGGUGAGUCACGCGUGUCCAACCUGCCCCCCGCCCGGGGAUAGCCCUUGGAAAUGAGGAUUAAGACCCGAUACGUGCGCCCUCCGCAUGGCGAGCGCAUGAAACUGGCGAGGGAUGGGGACGCGUCGGAUUAGCUUGACGGCGGGGCAACGGCCCACCGUGGCGACGAUCCGCAGGGGUUCUGAGAGGAAGGUCCCCCACACUGGCACUGAGACACGGGCCAGACUCCUACGGGAGGCAGCAGUGAGGAAUAUUGGUCAAUGGCCGAGAGGCUGAACCAGCCAAGUAGCGUGCAGGAUGACGGCCCUACGGGUUGUAAACUGCUUUUGCGGGAGGAUAAAGUGCGCCACGCGUGGCGCUUUGCAGGUAUCCCGUGAAUAAGGACCGGCUAAUUCCGUGCCAGCCGCAGC